rnacentral:rRNA from 1 species
UACGUAGGGGGCAAGCGUUGUUCGGAAUUACUGGGCGUAAAGGGCGCGUAGGCGGCAUGGCAAGUCAGGAGUGAAAGGCCUGGGCUCAACCGAGGAACUGCUUUUGAUACUGCCAAGCUAGAGUGCGGAAGGGGCAACUGGAAUUCUCGGUGUAGCGGUGAAAUGCGUAGAUAUCGAGAGGAACACCUGCGGCGAAGGCGGGUUGCUGGGCUGACACUGACGCUGAAGCGCGAAAGCUAGGGGAGCGAACGGG